rnacentral:rRNA from 1 species
UACAGAGGCCUCGAGCGUUAGGCGGAAUCACUGGGCUUAAAGCGUGUGUAGGUGGAGUUCUAAGUACCUUGUGAAAUCCCACGGCUCAACCGUGGAACUGCUGGGUAUACUGGUUUCUCUUGAGGUACCUAGGGGCGAGCGGAACAAGUGGUGGAGCGGUGAAAUGCGUAGAUAUCACUUGGAACGCCAACGGUGAAAAACAGCUCGCUGGGGGGUAUCCUGACACUGAGACACGAAAGCCAGGGGAGCAAACGGG